rnacentral:rRNA from 1 species
AUACGGAGGGUGCAAGCGUUAAUCGGAAUUACUGGGCGUAAAGCGUGCGCAGGCGGUUUGUUAAGUCAGAUGUGAAAGCCCCGGGCUCAACCUGGGAACUGCAUUUGAUACUGGCAAACUAGAGUGUGGUAGAGGGAAGUGGAAUUCCUCAUGUAGCGGUGAAAUGCGUAGAUACGAGGAGGAACACCAGUGGCGAAGGCGACUUCCUGGACCAACACUGACGCUCAUGUACGAAAGCGUGGGUAGCAAACAGGAUUAGAAACCCCAGUAGUCC